GACGAAGGGGGCUAGCGUUGUUCGGAAUUACUGGGCGUAAAGCGCGUGUAGGCGGUUGCCAUAGUCAGGUGUGAAAGCCUUGAGCUUAACUCAAGAAAUGCACUUGAUACUGGGCGACUAGAGGACCGGAGAGGAUAGUGGAAUUCCCAGUGUAGUGGUGAAAUACGUAGAGAUUGGGAAGAACACCAGUGGCGAAGGCGGCUAUCUGGACGGUUACUGACGCUGAGGAGCGAAAGCGUGGGGAGCAAACAGG
rnacentral:rRNA from 1 species